rnacentral:rRNA from 1 species
CCUACGGGGGGCAGCAGUUAGGAAUAUUGGUCAAUGGACGAGAGUCUGAACCAGCCAAGUAGCGUGAAGGAUUACUGCCCUAUGGGUUGUAAACUUCUUUUAUAUGGGAAUAAAACGUUCCACGUGUGGGAUUUUGUAUGUACCAUAUGAAUAAGGAUCGGCUAACUCCGUGCCAGCAGCCGCGGUAAUACGGAGGAUCCUAGCGUUAUCCGGAUUUAUUGGGUUUAAAGGGAGCGUAGGUGGAUUGUUAAGUCAGUUGUGAAAGUUUGCGGCUCAACCGUAAAAUUGCAGUUGAAACUGGCAGUCUUGAGUACAGUAGAGGUGGGCGGAAUUCGUGGUGUAGCGGUGAAAUGCUUAGAUAUCACGAAGAACUCCGAUUGCGAAGGCAGUUCACUGGACUGCAACUGACACUGAGGCUCGAAAGUGUGGGUAUCAAACAGGAUUAGAUACCCUUGUAGUC